GACGAACGCUGGCGGCGCGCCUAAUACAUGCAAGUCGAGCGGACGUUGUUAGAGCUUGCUCCAAUAACGUUAGCGGCGGACGGGUAAGUAACACGUGGGCAACCUGCCUUAACGACUGGGAUAACUCCGGGAAACCGGGGCUAAUACCGGAUAACAUCUAGCACCUCCUGGUGCAAGAUUAAAAGAGGGCCUCUGGCUCUCACGUUAAGAUGGGCCCGCGGCGCAUUAGCUAGUUGGAGAGGUAAUGGCUACCCAAGGCGACGAUGCGUAGCCGACCUGAGAGGGUGAUCGGCCACACUGGGACUGAGACACGGCCCAGACUCCUACGGGAGGCAGCAGUAGGGAAUCUUCCGCAAUGGACGAAAGUCUGACGGAGCAACGCCGCGUGAGUGAAGAAGGGUUUCGGCUCGUAAAGCUCUGUUAUGAGGGAAGAACACGUACCGUUCAAAUAGGGCGGUACCUUGACGGUACCUCAUCAGAAAGCCACGGCUAACUACGUGCCAGCCGCCGCAGUAA
rnacentral:rRNA from 1 species